rnacentral:rRNA from 1 species
UUCAGUUACACAGGAAUCGUACCCGAAACCGACACAGGUGGUCAGGUCGAGUAGACCAAGGCGCUUGAGAGAACUCUGCUGAAGGAACUAGGCAAAAUGGUACCGUAACUUCGGGAGAAGGUACGCUGUUGUUGGUGAUGGAACUCGCUUCCUGAGCUGACGACAGCCGCAGAAACCAGGCCGCUGCAACUGUUUAUUAAAAACAUAGCACUCUGCAAACACGAAAGUGGACGUAUAGGGUGUGAUGCCUGCCCGGUGCUGGAAGGUUAAUUGAUGGGGUUAGCGUAAGCGAAGCUCUUGAUCGAAGCCCCAGUAAACGGCGGCCGUAACUAUAACGGUCCUAAGGUAGCGAAAUUCCUUGUCGGGUAAGUUCCGACCUGCACGAAUGGCAUAAUGAUGGCGGCGCUGUCUCCAGCAGAGGCUCAGUGAAAUCGAAAUCGCUGUGAAGAUGCAGUGUACCCGCGGCUAGACGGAAAGACCCCGUGAACCUUUACUGCAGCUUGACACUGAACUUUGACCUUACUUGUGUAGGAUAGGUGGGAGGCUUUGAAGCUGGAACGCUAGUUCCAGUGGAGCCGUCCUUGAAAUACCACCCUGGUAAUGUUGAGGUUCUAACUCUGUCCCGUGAUCCGGGACGAGGACCGUGUCUGGUGGGUAGUUUGACUGGGGCGGUCUCCUCCUAAAGAGUAACGGAGGAGUACGAAGGUGCGCUCAGCGUGGUCGGAAAUCACGCGUAGAGUAUAAAGGCAAAAGCGCGCUUAACUGCGAGACCCACAAGUCGAGCAGGUACGAAAGUAGGUCUUAGUGAUCCGGUGGUUCUGUAUGGAAGGGCCAUCGCUCAACGGAUAAAAGGUACUCUGGGGAUAACAGGCUGAUACCGCCCAAGAGUUCAUAUCGACGGCGGUGUUUGGCACCUCGAUGUCGGCUCAUCUCAUCCUGGGGCUGAAGCAGGUCCCAAGGGUAUGGCUGUUCGCCAUUUAAAGAGGUACGCGAGCUGGGUUUAGAACGUCGUGAGACAGUUCGGUCCCUAUCUACCGUGGGCGCUGGAAAUUUGAGAGGAUCUGCUCCUAGUACGAGAGGACCAGAGUGGACGAACCUCUGGUGUACCGGUUGUGACGCCAGUCGCAUCGCCGGGUAGCUAUGUUCGGAAGGGAUAACCGCUGAAAGCAUCUAAGCGGGAAGCCUACCUCAAGAUAAGAUUUCCCUAGGACUUUAUGUCCUCUAAAGAGCCGUUCGAGACUAGGACGUUGAUAGGUUGGAUGUGGAAGCAUAGUGAUAUGUGAAGCUGACCAAUACUAAUUGCUCGUGAGGCUUGACUAU